UAAUGUGGCGCACAGCGGACAUCGAAUACCCUAACACCGGAAUCCUGUUGUUAUAAAAUAAUACCAUUAUGAUGAUGGAAUAAAAAACCUAGUUCCUUUCCGAAACCUGUAAUGACAAGAUAAUACUUCGGAUAGCGAAAUAAUACGAAAUAAUACGAAAUAAUACGAGUUUAAUUGUGACGUAUUUGUGAAGAUUUUCCGCUCUGUUUUGAGAUGCUUUCCUGCCUUGACAGAUGAUCAAUGAAGUCGGUCAUUUGGGGAUUCAAAACGACACUAUUUUCUUACCUCAGUUUGACAUUUUACAAACACCACCCCCUUCUAUUCCUACAUCAAUAGGCCUAAGAAGACACAUUGUAGCCUAGUACAAUACCCCGUCUAAACGGAAACAGUCCCGCAGAUACAGCGUCUCAACUUGGAUCACUAAAUAUGAUUGGCCUCAAGUACAACAUGUCUCUACCCAUGGCUGCAGGGGCCUUGUUAGUGGGCAUCCCCUACUCCAUCUCUCUCGUAGCCCAGUGGAUGUAUGGCUGGCCUAACAAGCCAGGCUAUAAAAAGUACAUCGAGGCUCUGAAGCCAAGGCGGAUAUACUGUCUGACUAGAGCUGUGCUGGAGAUGCUGAAAUACUUCCAGUACGGCAAACUCUACUUCCAGUGGAAGUCCUGGUACAAGAAUGUAGAAAACCACAAGCAUUAUGAAAAGGGCAUCAGGUUUGGGCGUCGUAGCAACAAGCUGGAUUUGUAUUAUUCUCCCACGGUGGGCCAGCCAGGCAGUGGACCGGUGCCUGUGGUAGUGUUUAUAUACGGGGGAGCCUGGGGUUCAGGGGAGAGGUCCAUAUACUGUCUACUGGCCAUGCAGAUGGCUAAGGAGCUCAGCGCAACGGUGAUCUGCCCCGACUAUUGCACCUAUCCAAAGGGUAAUGUUUUGUGUAUGGUUCAAGAUAUUGCGGACUGUCUCAUUUGGGCGAGGGACAGCGGCCAUAAAUUCAACUUUGACAAAGAUAACAUUGUGUUAAUCGGCCACUCCGCUGGGGCUCACCUAGCAGCUCUAACCGUCCUGUUCAUGGUCGAGGGACGAGACGAGCUCUUUAUAGAUGCCAAGAAGCAGACAGAGAUCACCAUGGCAAUCAGAGGAGUUACAGGUCACUACGGGGUUUAUAGAGUUACAGGUCAAUACGGGGUUUAUAGAGUUACAGGUCACUAUGUGGUUUAUAGAGUUACAGGUCACUAUGUGGUUUAUAGAGUUACAGGUCAAUACGGGGUUUAUAGAGUUACAGGUCACUAUGUGGUUUAUAGAGUUACAGGUCACUAUGUGGUUUAUAGAGUUACAGGUCACUAUGUGGUUUAUAGAGUUACAGGUCACUAUGUGGUUUAUAGAGUUACAGGUCAAUACGUGGUUUAUAGAGUUACAGGUCACUAUGUGGUUUAUAGAGUUACAGGUCACUACGUGGUUUAUAAAGUUACAGGUCACUAUGUGGUUUAUAGAGUUACAGGUCAAUACGGGGUUUAUAGAGUUACAGGUCACUAUGUGGUUUAUAGAGUUACAGGUCACUACGGGGUUUAUAGAGUUACAGGUCACUACGUGGUUUAUAGAGUUACAGGUCACUAUGUGGUUUAUAGAGUUACAGGUCACUAUGUGGUUUAUAGAGUUACAGGUCACUAUGUGGUUUAUAGAGUUACAGGUCACUAUGUGGUUUAUAGAGUUACAGGUCACUAUGUGGUUUAUAGAGUUACAGGUCACUAUGUGGUUUAUAGAGUUACAGGUCACUAUGUGGUUUAUAGAGUUACAGGUCACUAUGUGGUUUAUAGAGUUACAGGUCACUAUGUGGUUUAUAGAGUUACAGGUCACUACGUGGUUUAUAGAGUUACAGGUCACUAUGUGGUUUAUAGAGUUACAGGUCACUAUGUGGUUUAUAGAGUUACAGGUCACUACGUGGUUUAUAGAUAUUGUCUUAGACAAUCAGACAGCUCAACAUUUGUCUCCGCAUUGAUGAGAUUUUCUUGUUUUUAA
rnacentral:lncRNA from 1 species